ACGGGUGAGUAACACGUGAAUCAUCUACCUCCGAGUGGGGAAUAACCUAGAGAAAUCUGGGCUAAUACCGCAUAACACUUACGAGUCAAAGCAGCAAUGCGCUUGGAGAGGAGUUCGCGGCAGAUUAGUUAGUUGGCGGGGUAAUGGCCCACCAAGACGAUGAUCUGUAUCCGGCCUGAGAGGGCGCACGGACACACUGGAACUGAAACACGGUCCAGACUCCUACGGGAGGCAGCAGUGGGGAAUUUUGCGCAAUGGGGGAAACCCUGACGCAGCAACGCCGCGUGGAGGAUGAAAUCCCUUGGGAUGUAAACUCCUUUCGAUCGGGACGAUUAUGACGGUACCGGAAGAAGAAGCCCCGGCUAACUUCGUGCCAGCAGCCGCGGUAAUACGAGGGGGGCAAGCGUUGUUCGGAAUUAUUGGGCGUAAAGGGCGCGUAGGCGGUUUGACAAGUCUGAUGUGAAAUCUCUGGGCUCAACCCAGAGUCUGCAUUAGAAACUGUCGGGCUUGAGUAUGGGAGAGGUGAGUGGAAUUUCCGGUGUAGCGGUGAAAUGCGUAGA
rnacentral:rRNA from 1 species